GAUGAACGCUGGCGGCGUGCCUAAUACAUGCAAGUCGAGCGAACAGACGAGGAGCUUGCUCCUCUGACGUUAGCGGCGGACGGGUGAGUAACACGUGGAUAACCUACCUAUAAGACUGGGAUAACUUCGGGAAACCGGAGCUAAUACCGGAUAACAUUUUGAACCGCAUGGUUUAACAGUGAAAGACGGUCUUGCUGUCACUUAUAGAUGGAUCCGCGCCGCAUUAGCUAGUUGGUAAGGUAACGGCUUACCAAGGCAACGAUGCGUAGCCGACCUGAGAGGGUGAUCGGCCACACUGGAACUGAGACACGGUCCAGACUCCUACGGGAGGCAGCAGUAGGGAAUCUUCCGCAAUGGGCGAAAGCCUGACGGAGCAACGCCGCGUGAGUGAAGAAGGUCUUCGGAUCGUAAAACUCUGUUAUUAGGGAAGAACAAAUGUGUAAGUAACUAUGCACGUCUUGACGGUACCUAAUCAGAAAGCCACGGCUAACUACGUG
rnacentral:rRNA from 1 species